GACGAACGCUGGCGGCGUGCCUAAUACAUGCAAGUAGGACGCAGUUGCGAACGGGUGAGUAACGCGUAGGUAACUACCUAUUAGAGGGGGAUAAAUAUUGGAAACGAUAGCUAAUACCGCAUACUAGUAGAUGGACCUGCGUUGUAUUAGCUAGUAGGUUGGGUAAUGGACUACCUAGGCAACGAUACAUAGGCGACCUGGAAGGGGUGUCGGCCACCAUGGGACUGGGGCACGGGCCAAACUCCCACGGGGGGCAGCAGUAGGGAAUCUUCGGCAAUGGGGGGAACCCUGACCGAGCAACGCCGCGUGGGUGAAGAAGGUUUUCGGGUCGUAAAGCUCUGUUGUUAAGGAAGCGGUACUUAACCAGAAAGGGACGGCUAACUACGUGCCAGCAGCCGCGGUAAUAC
rnacentral:rRNA from 1 species